CCAAAAUGAUGCGCUUCAAGAACCGCAGGUUCGGAGCUUGAUCCUCUUGGAGGCUGAAAUCGCACCUUCUCGGGACAGCACACAUGAGUUUAUGAGGUAAUUGACUGUGAAAUCGUGGUUGGUUUCCGUCUGAGGUGAAAUAUCUGCAAAGUGGUAGAUUUUGAAGACGAAAUUGUCUGCAGAUAUUUCACGUCUGAAAUCUCGAAGCCAACCACGAUUUCACAGUCAAUUACCUCAUAAACUCACGUACGCUGUCCCGAGAAGUGUGAUUUCAGCCUCCAAGAGGGUCAAGCUGCGGUCCCCAGAGAGAGCAGACUCCUUUUUGUACUUUCUCAGAAACCAUGGAUUCUCUGUAAGCCAGAUCUCGAAUCUUGUCGGGAGUCGCUCAGAACCAAUAUUGAGGUUUAAGAGAAUCAGGUAUGUCCCAAUCAUGCAUUUCUCUGUUGAUGCUUCAGAGUCCCGGCGUUUUUAUGCUAAAGCCUAAAGAUCUUGGUCAACUUGUGGAUGCGAUUAAGCAAAUCGGUUUUAAUAUGCUGAAAUUAAUGUCGGUAGAGACACAAUAAGAGCAUUGUGUGGUAACAAUAGGUCCAUAUGUAAUCGAAAUCGCCAAGUUUAUAAGAGGUGGGGUUGGUCUGAGGAUGAUGUUCUCUCUGCUCUCAGGCGGCACCCACGCUGUAUGACUGUUGGAAAAGAAGAUAAUGCUUGGCACUGGGGACUUUUUAGUGAAAAAAUGGGAUGGCUUGGCCGUCGGUAAUGAUUGGCAAUGGCGUUCAGUUGUUAAAGUUUUGUUGCUGAAAGGGCUGAUGCAGAUUGAAAAUGUGAGUUUGCUUUCUGUGUUGGUGCUGUCAGACAAGUUCUUCUUGGAAAGGUUCGUGGCCAGAUUCAUAGAUGAAGCACCUCCGUUAUUGAGUGUGUAUCAAGGAAGGGUUGAAGUCCAGGAUGAUGAUGUUCGUACGUAGUUUAAAAGGGUUAGAUAACAAUUGAUGUGUAUGCAGUCAGUGGUGGCAUCUAGCUUUUUGCUCAGUAUUUUAAGAGGUUGGAUAUUUAUAACAAUUUAUAUUUCUCCAUAAAUGAAUUCAGUUGUUGGUUCAAUAUUCUAAAAAUGUUUGUUUUUCUAAGAGCGUGUAUUAGCUUCAGAUAACCACAUGCUUUUGUAGAUAGAAAAUAUGGACGUGCGCAUCUUUAUUAAUUUGCAUAGGAUGAUUGGCAUCAGCAGAUCGGUCUUACACAUAUGUCGUUCCUAUACCUUACUGCUAGGGACUGCAGUGAACCCGUUUACCAGUAACUUUUGCACUUAGCACGUAGGCAUAGGCACGGCGUGGUAUGCUAUUAUUGAAUACCAGAGUUAUGUAUUUCCUUAUUCACGAUAUAGCUAACUUCCGCCAUGCAGACUUAUGGCUUACCGGACAAGUUUCCGCUUUCAACGACAUAGUGUUGAAUUAGUCUAUAGGCUUCGGCACAAGGCACUGGCCAAGGACACGACAAGAUGCAGUGCACUGCAUUCUGCAGAAAGUGAGAUAUAGUAACGGUGUUCAUUUUUGUGCUAUUUUUCUGUCUUCCUUUUCCUUUUAGAUGACCAGGUUUGAGCUGUUCACUUGUUGCACUUGCAAUUUUGUAUCAUUUCUCGAAACCCGUGUUCAUCGCGCUCUGCGACACCCGAAAAAACUGUAAUUUCAGGGUAAAAAAAGAGAGCUAUAAGUUGGCCAUUUGCUAUUGCUAUAAGGGCUGCUCGCCUUUAUAUGGCUUGGGAAGGUAUCAGUCAUUCCUUCAGCUCUGUAUAGAUGAAGUAGAUACAGAAGUUGUUUGUUGAUACCUUUCUUAUUACAUCCAACUCCAUCAAUAUGAUCUGGUCUUGUUAUGCUCGCUUCGAUAUAUUGAUUGUUGUAAGUGUUAUUCUUUUGAUGAAAAGCAAAUUUCGGUGCC